rnacentral:rRNA from 1 species
GAUGAACGCUGACAGAAUGCUUAACACAUGCAAGUCUACUUGAAUUUGGGUUUUUUAACUUCGAUUUGGGUGGCGGACGGGUGAGUAACGCGUAAAGAACUUGCCUCCCAGCUAGGGACAACAUUUGGAAACGAAUGCUAAUACCUGAUAUUAUGAUUAUAAGGCAUCUUAGAAUUAUGAAAGCUAUAUUCGCUGUGAGAGAGCUUUGCGUCACAUUAGCUCGUUGGAGAGGUAGCGGCUCACCAAUGAGAUGAUGGGUAGCCGGCCUGAGAGGGUGAACGGCCACAAGGUGACAGAGACAGGACCCUUACUCCAACGGGAGGCAGCAGUGGGGAAUAUUGGACAAUGGACCAAGAGUCUGAUCCAGCAAUUCUGUGUGCACGAUGACGUUUUUCGGAAUGUAAAGUGGUUUCAGUUGGGAAGAAAAAAAUGACGGUACCAACAGAAGAAGUGACGGCUAAAUACGUG